GACGAACGCUGGCGGCGUGCUUAACACAUGCAAGUCGAGCGAGUGGAUUCCCUUCGGGUCUAGUGGCGCACGGGUGCGUAACGCGUGGGAAUCUGCCCUUGGGUCCGGAAUAACAGUUAGAAAUGACUGCUAAUAACGGACGAUGACUAUGGUCCAAAGAUUUAUCGCCCAGGGAUGAGCCCGCGUAGGAUAGCUUGUUGGUGAGGUAAAAGCUCACCAAGGCGACGAUCCUUAGCUGGUCUGAGAGGAUGAUCAGCCACACUGGGACUGAGACACGGCCCAGACUCCUACGGGAGGCAGCAGUGGGGAAUAUUGGACAAUGGGCGAAAGCCUGAUCCAGCAAUGCCGCGUGAGUGAUGAAGGCCUUAGGGUUGUAAAGCUCUUUUGCCCGGGAUGAUAAUGACAGUACCGGGAGAAUAAGCCCCGGCUAACUCCGUGCCAGCCGCCGCAGUAAUAC
rnacentral:rRNA from 1 species